CAAAAAUUUUACUUCUGAAUCUAGGAUAUUUAGCAAAACUACACCCAAAUCCUACACUCACAAAAAAAAAUUAAUAAAAGACCUGGUAUUAAUAACCCUUACAAUAUAUAUAUAUUAACACAAAAAAGAAACCUCGUAUACAAGACACGUUGAUGGCACAAAACAACAUACACAAAAAAAAAACUUAACCUAGUUAUUUUUAUGAACUUCUGUUUUAUCAAUUAUAAUUAAAAUUAUUUUUCUUUUUCUUAUAGUGUUGGCGCGAUAACGUACCCAGUGGAGCCUGAGGGUAAUUCUGGCAACCCGAUCCUAGGCGGUUAUGCUCCAGCAAAGAGCUUAUGAUCACCAGCCUGGACAGUUACUUCUUAAGGUGGACUUAUCCAGAUUUGACCAAGAAUCGGAUCCGGGGAGAAACAAAAAAAAACACCCUGGCCUCCGCUCGUCUGAGCCUGUUGGAGACCAGGAAUAACCAGUAUAGGUUUUGUUGGGACACUACACACAAGCAGAAUGGAGAGACAAAAAAAAGAAACAUCAGUACCGAUAAAACAAUCACUCACAUAUUUACACUUAUAACUCACAUUAAAGGGUAAUUCCCCAAAAUAAUAAAUAUAGACCGAACACUGA